rnacentral:rRNA from 1 species
AGGAAUUGGCGGGGGAGCACUACAACGGGUGGAGCCUGCGGUUUAAUUGGAUUCAACGCCGGGAAGCUUACCGGGGGAGACAGCGGGAUGAAGGUCGGGCUGAAGACCUUACCAGACUAGCUGAGAGGUGGUGCAUGGCCGCCGUCAGUUCGUACUGUGAAGCAUCCUGUUAAGUCAGGCAACGAGCGAGACCCGCGCCCCCAGUUGCCAGCGGUUCCCUUCGGGGAAGCCGGGCACACUGGGGGGACUGCCGGCGCUAAGCCGGAGGAAGGUGCGGGCAACGGCAGGUCCGUAUGCCCCGAAUCCCCCGGGCUACACGCGGGCUACAAUGGCCGGGACAAUGGGUACCGACCCCGAAAGGGGUAGGUAAUCCCCUAAACCCGGUCUAACCUGGGAUCGAGGGCUGCAACUCGCCCUUCGUGAACCUGGAAUCCGUAGUAAUCGCGCCUC